rnacentral:lncRNA from 1 species
ACCCCCUCAUCGUCGAACGUGAACACGUAGUAACCCACCGUCAGCCCGCCGACGAUCGCCAGGAACACGCCCCCAUUGAACGACAUGAUCGCCAGCAUCAGGAGGUAGCCGAUUGCCGAGUUAAGCCCGAAGAGCAGAGCCGCCCCAAGCCUCGCGGAUCUGGCCAGCCGGGAGGCGCCGGCCUUCAGGAGGAGCGGGGACGCCGCGCCGGUCGGCGCGCGGGGGACGCCGCAGUGGUCGGCACGGGGGACGCGGCGGUGGAGGCGAAGGCGGACGCGGACGCCGAGGAGGAGGAGGAGGAGGAGGAGGCGAGGGAUCUGAAGCGGAUGUAGCGGUCCUCCAUGUACUAGUAGAAGGCGGAGACGAGGAAGCAGGCGGCGAGGGAGAGGAAGUAGCUGGGCCAAGAGUCGGUCCGCCAUGA